GGAGUGGACACCGGGGGCUUCAGGGGAAGACAUCCAAACGACCGGGAGUCACGCGUGGACUCUUUCGCGCGAGGGUAGGUGUGCAGACCGGCCAGGCGAGCCUCGCGUCCGGCAUCGCAAGCGCCGGCAGUUUCCUUCUUGGUUCUUGGGAUGGUGUUUUGCUUCUGCGCCCGCGCUGGUAGGAGCUAUGCGCCCUACCCGCCUACCUCGUGCACUUGUCCACGGUAGAUUUAAACCACACACGAAUUCGAAAAACAAAGUGAAACUACAUCCACGCCCAGUGGGAGAUGAGGUGAGGAGCUGCGGGGGUGGGCCGGUCCCGCACCUCACGGCAGGAACGCAGACAGGUAGGCCGAGGCCGCUUGCAUGGAAUCCAGACCAAGCGGGCAGGGUCGAUGUGCUGGAGCUCAUCAGAGGCCACCCGCUGCGGGAGCCUCUCUCGCUGCAGCGAUGCAGGCCAUGGGCUCUCGGUGCCGAGGUGGCCUCCGGGGUAAGGCAGGCAGCUUUUCCCUGGCGGGCCUCCGAAUCUCGAGACAGCCUCACCUAGCCGCCCCACCCCCACCCCACCCCCAGCCUCUUCUGUUUCUGAGAGGUGGUUUUUUAGUAGCAAUUUAAAGAACUACCGUAGGAAACCCAACAGCAGACGUCUGCCUCUUUUCUGAAGCCUGCCUGUGAGUGCCGCAGGAGCUAGAGCAAGCAGCAGUUCACAGCUCCUCUAUUGAGAAAUCCCCAGAAACCAGCUGUAGUUGCACCUGAUGUUCUCAUACUCAUGCGCUGGCAUGAAAUAAGGGGUGAGAACUGGAUAAUGAAGCUACAGCUUUAACCCUGAAAGGCCUGGGAAACACCCACUGAGCCCUAACCUAGCCUCACAGUAUCCUAGCCACUAGUGACAUUGUCAGCCACUCUGAUGUCCCCUAGCACCUGCUGAGUGAUGCUCGGUCAGGUGCAACUGAGAACAAGACAAGUGGGGGUGGAGGGUGCAACUGAGAAGGAGACUUGGGGGUGGGGCAAAGGGGGAAUUCUCUUUUCAUAGAGGACAUGUCUAGGGAAGAUUGCCUCCACCCAGGUGGUCGCCAACCUGUUCAUCCUGUCCUCUGAUGAGGUUUUUGGUGAGCAGUGCCCACUGCUGGACUGUCAACCUGAUGGCAGGAAUUCCUUGGCUUCUGAUAGCAAAUCCCUUCUCUCUGGUUUACAGCUGUUCUUCUCGGCCUGCAAGGCCUUCUUUGCAUGUACAUUCUGCAAAUGUGAUUAACUAACCCAUCCUUUGUUUUCUACCCUGCUUUUGAAACUCGGCCCUUCUUUUCCUGUCCCAGCGAGUAUACUUAAAUUCGCUUGGUGGCAGAACCUCCCACAUGGAACCAGUUUCCAUCCCUGUGUCCCGCUUGAACCAUUUUCAGACAGUUGUACUUUGGCUCAGAUCGCUAGCCUGGGUCACUCGCAGGAGCCCGGUGGUGUACUAUUCCCAAAUCAUUGAAUCGCUUCCAGCCUUUGCCUUUACCCUCUUUAUGCCUUCAUUUUGAUGAGUGUCUGUGAAGGCUUCCACUUCCCUCCAUGAUUUCAAGUCCCAUUAUGCCCCUAGCUCCCUCACCUCUUUCCUGUGUACCAUGUUUAAAACAAUAAAUGAAUGCUAAUG
rnacentral:lncRNA from 1 species